UGGGGAAUAUUGGACAAUGGGCGAAAGCCUGAUCCAGCCAUGCCGCGUGUGUGAAGAAGGUCUUCGGAUUGUAAAGCACUUUAAGUUGGGAGGAAGGGCAUUAACCUAAUACGUUAGUGUUUUGACGUUACCGACAGAAUAAGCACCGGCUAACUCUGUGCCAGCAGCCGCGGUAAUACAGAGGGUGCAAGCGUUAAUCGGAAUUACUGGGCGUAAAGCGCGCGUAGGUGGUUUGUUAAGUUGGAUGUGAAAUCCCCGGGCUCAACCUGGGAACUGCAUUCAAAACUGACUGACUAGAGUAUGGUAGAGGGUGGUGGAAUUUCCUGUGUAGCGGUGAAAUGCGUAGAUAUAGGAAGGAACACCAGUGGAGAAGG
rnacentral:rRNA from 1 species